rnacentral:rRNA from 1 species
CCUACGGGGGGCUGCAGUGGGGAAUAUUGGACAAUGGGCGAAAGCCUGAUCCAGCCAUGCCGCGUGUGUGAAGAAGGCCUUCGGGUUGUAAAGCACUUUCAGUGGGGAAGAAAGCCUUGGGGCUAAUACCCUCGAGGAAGGACAUCACCCACAGAAGAAGCACCGGCUAACUCCGUGCCAGCAGCCGCGGUAAUACGGAGGGUGCGAGCGUUAAUUGGAAUUACUGGGCGUAAAGCGCGCGUAGGCGGUCUGAUAAGCCGGUUGUGAAAGCCCCGGGCUCAACCUGGGAACGGCAUCCGGAACUGUCAGGCUAGAGUGCAGGAGAGGAAGGUAGAAUUCCCGGUGUAGCGGUGAAAUGCGUAGAGAACGGGAGGAAUACCAGUGGCGAAGGCGGCCUUCUGGACUGACACUGACGCUGAGGUGCGAAAGCGUGGGUAGCAAACAGGAAUAGAUACCCCAGUAGUC